rnacentral:rRNA from 1 species
UACGUAGGGUGCAAGCGUUAAUCGGAAUUACUGGGCGUAAAGCGUGCGCAGGCGGUUCGCUAAGACAGAUGUGAAAUCCCCGGGCUUAACCUGGGAACUGCAUUCGUGACUGGCGGGCUAGAGUAUGGCAGAGGGGGGUAGAAUUCCACGUGUAGCAGUGAAAUGCGUAGAGAUGUGGAGGAAUACCGAUGGCGAAGGCAGCCCCCUGGGCCAAUACUGACGCUCAUGCACGAAAGCGUGGGGAGCAAACAGG